GAGGCCAGGGCGGCCAGGGCCGUUGCCAGUUCUGCCCAGGCCCCUCGGGAGCCCAAGCCCGCGCCGCCCCCGGCGCCGGACCCCGCGCCCCCCCGGCAGCGCAGCACCAGCAGGAAGCGGACAGUCUCCCCCAGCCUGUGCGUUGUGCAUGAAGCCCACCACGUCAUCUAGACCCCAGCACAGGGCAUCUGCCAGCAGAACCAACGACUCAUCAAAGUACUCGGCCACCAAGACCAGAUCAAAGACAGAGUCCAGCCAGGCCAGACUCCACUGGAGCAAGGAUGACGAUCUCAAAUCUAAAGAGGCAGGGCUGGAUGUCUGGCCGUGACCACCGGCCACUGUGGGAGCAGGAUGGAAGACAGCUUUGGGAUCCAGAGGGUGGUGGGCUCGGGGCCCAGUGCCAGAAGGUAAAACAUUCAGCUGUGGGAGGUUGGGGUCUCUAGGUGCAUGAGGAUUCCCUCUCUCGGUCUUUAUCUCGGGGGGGAAGGGGAGUCCAAAGUCAAACCAGAGCAAGUUGCGGGCAUAGUGGUCCCCACGGGCCCCAGGUCGGUAGAAGGCUCGAGGAUUGGCCAGGAAGGCGGCCAAAGAUGGUGCCUUGCGGAAGGCCGAUGAAGUGGACUUAUAGUAGGAGAAAGCAGAGCGGGCCAGAGCUGCUGGGUCUCGGACAAUGGAAAAGAAGAAGCUGUCAGAAGGCAUGACCCGAAGGACCUGCAGAGGAAAGAAAAUAGGCUUAGAGAGAAAGAACUGGGCCAGGAGGAAACUAAGAGCAAGCCCAUUGCCAGGGGAUCCCCUAGAUGCCUCAAACCUCCUUCUCGAAACUUCUGGGCUCUGCCGGAAACCCCCAGCUUCCUACACAAACAUACUUGGGCCAGUUACUUAAUAUCUCUGAGACUCAAUUUGCUGAUCUGAAAAAUGGGGACAACCAUACCUUGCCACUGAUUAUGAAGGUACACGAGAUAAAGAGUAUGAAGGGACCUGGAACACGGGAAGCUACUUAAGAACAUUAAUUUCUUUGGGCCUCUAUGUAUGGCUUUGGUCACUAAAAUCUCUAAGAAUCAAA